rfam:Podiceps cristatus contig15103, whole genome shotgun sequence.
GUGCAUGUGGGGCUAUAAUUUAUGAAACGAAGCCCAGGAAACAACCAAUCACUUAGCUCCUCCUAACAAGUCCAACUGGCUAUGAGAAGCUGGAAGUGCUGCACAGAACAAUGAAGAAGAGCUAUCCCACAUUUUAAUCUACUUAUCUAGGAUUGCUUUCUGUGUAGAGAGAGGGAAGCAUGCAACAAGGUUGGGGGGGGAAGCUCAGAAAGAGAAAAAUCACAGCUUUGCUGUUGAAACAACAGAAUACAUUUCAAUCAACAGGCAAAUCUUCCACUGUAGUCAGAUGGC